rnacentral:tRNA from 1 species
GGGGCUGUAGCUCAAUCGGUUAGAGCAGCGGACUCAUAAUCCGUUGGUUGAGAGUUCGAGUCUCUCCGGCCCCA